rnacentral:rRNA from 1 species
UACGGGGGGGGCAAGCGUUGUUCGGAAUUACUGGGCGUAAAGGGCUCGUAGGCGGCCAACUAAGUCGGAUGUGAAAUCCCCAGGCUCAACCUGGGAACUGCAUCCGAUACUGGAUGGCUUGAAUUCGGGAGAGGGAUGCAGAAUUCCAGGUGUAGCGGUGAAAUGCUUAGAUAUGACAUAGAAUACCAAUUGCGAAGGCAGCUGGCUACACGAAUAUUGACACUCAGGCACGAAAGCGUGGGGAUCAAACAGG